GUCCCUGUAGCGCAAUUAUAGCGCGUUGGACUUCUAAUCCAAAGUUAGUGGUUUCGAGUCCCACCUGGGAUG
rnacentral:tRNA from 1 species